AGGCAAUACAGUCAUUUGACAUCUUUAGAAGCAGUAUCAUCAACACCUAUAGACAACAGACAUUCACCAGAGGAACAGCAGAAAGGACUAACUCUUGGAAGAUAUGAGUAAAGUUUUGGUAACUCUAAAAGACACGGAAGAAGUUUAAAGCCAUUUAACAUUCUGAGAAAAGAGCAAUGGCAGAAAGUGGAAAAUGCUAUCAGCAAAGAGAAAGUAAGAAAAUACUCACUGCAGGACCUGGGCGGCCUCGUA